rnacentral:rRNA from 1 species
UAGGGAAUCUUCGGCAAUGGACGAAAGUCUGACCGAGCAACGCCGCGUGAGUGAAGAAGGUUUUCGGAUCGUAAAACUCUGUUGUUAGAGAAGAACAAGGACGUUAGUAACUGAACGUCCCCUGACGGUAUCUAACCAGAAAGCCACGGCUAACUACGUGCCAGCAGCCGCGGUAAUACGUAGGUGGCAAGCGUUGUCCGGAUUUAUUGGGCGUAAAGCGAGCGCAGGCGGUUUCUUAAGUCUGAUGUGAAAGCCCCCGGCUCAACCGUGGAGGGUCAUUGGAAACUGGGAGACUUGAGUGCAGAAGAGGAGAGUGGAAUUCCAUGUGUAGCGGCGAAAUGCGUAGAUAUAUGGAGGAACACCAGUGGCGAAGGCGGCUCUCUGGUCUGUAACUGACGCUGAGGCUCGAAAGCGUGGGGAGCAAACAGG